CGCUGCUUUAACAACCUCUGUUCCCAUUAAAAUGCCUCCUGUCGGAGGGGGUGAUACAGAAAUGAUUUCUGUUGGUUUGAUAAAUAUUUUUUUUUACCAAAGAAUAUGAGUAACUCUCAGCAAUUGUAGAUAUGAUUACAAUUUCUUUGUAUUACAUAUACUAAACUCACAUCAGAUGACUCAGAAUGUUUUUAGUUAGUUGUUAAACAUGGUGUGUGUUUACUUUUUAUCAUUGUAGGUUGUAGGUAUCAUUGUGUUGUUUCAAAUCAAAGAACUGUCAUAAAGUGUACUGAUCAAGUGUAGAAAAGCACAUCUUGUUUAUUGACUUUAUAUUAAUGUGUUUGUAGGUCAAGCACCACAGAUGAGUCUACAGCAUAUUCAUGGUGAACACGUUCACUUUGUUUGCUCUCUGCCUGGAUCUACUAAUAAUGAUACGAGAUGUAACCUGUACUUUGGAGAAGAAAGUGAUCCAGUUGUAACAACAACCAUCUGGAAGAAGAGAAGCUCAACCAAUCGGUGGUUUUGCCAGUUUAGUGUCCCAAUUGAUGAUUUGCUGAAACGUCUAUGUUUAGUUAAACAGAGUGAUGCCAGCUGUGAUUACAAUUUGGGAAGUGAACCCAACUCUUUGUCUCCUCGCAGUGAUCGAUACAACUUGACUGGUAAGUCACAGAAGACAUGAACACACAUGCUACAAGCUUUAGUUUACUUUCUGUGACACAGUCAAUGAAUCUGAUAAAGUAAAUUGUGACCUAAAUUAGAUAUAGAAUAUUUGAUAACUGUACCUUAAAUCCGUUUGUUAGAAGUUUAAUUGUGACAUCAGGAUUGAAAUCGUGCUCACUGUAUAUUAAGCUUAUUAUGGACCUACUAAAAACAUCUAAAAAAUACAAAUACAAAAAUAAUGCUGUCCCAUAUUGUCUACAUAAAUAUUUAUUUAUUUGUACAUGGAAAAUCCCAAAUCCAUCCAAUCUUCUCUUACUAUAGAUAUUGUGGAAAGAAAGUCAAGUAUGACCCAGAGAAUGCCAACAUUUACUGUGACCACAGCAGGUCAGACUGUUGGUUCAUCACUAGACUUACUUUCCUGACAUCAGUGAAAGCAGAGAAGAUAAUAUUGAUUAUUGGAGCAGUUGUGACUGUGGAUGCUGUCUUACUUGGAUUGGCACUUCUCUUUAUUCAAAGCAGGACUGAAAACUGCCUUUCAAAUAGACCAAAAGCAAACUUCACUGAUGACAGGGAAUAUAUGGGUGAUUAUGAUGAAACAUACAGUACCGUCUUCUAUGAAUGCAACACUGCGCCACAGGUGGCCGUCAGGAGGUGGGCCAGUAUAAAAGCCACCACCCUUCCUGGCUAUUCCUUUUGCGCCUCUGUCGUCACUGGUGUCACUUCCGGGUCAUAGGUCGUUGACCCGACAGUUGCUGGAGACUGGUGGUGGUGUCCCCUUCUGUCUGCUGUGUCCGGGGAAGCGGUUUCACUUCACUGAGUGUCACGUAUGUCGGGUGUUUUUGAGUUGAUUUCUCAUUUUGGGUGAAUCCCUCCCCCCUGCACUAAGCCCCUGUCCAUACACUCAGCUCCAGCCCCCUCCCCUUUGGUUGGAUUCCCCUGUUUGAUCUUCGUUUGUAUGAAUGAAAUUGGAACUCUUUUUAACUACUUUAUUCAAUAAUAAAAGUAUAUUCUAUAAUUACCUGCACCACGUCUCAUGCCUUACUGAGUAAACUUACCUGUGUCCU
rnacentral:lncRNA from 15 species